rnacentral:rRNA from 1 species
AGGCAUCUUUUUAUUUUUAAAAGACCUAGCAAUAGGUAUGCUUAGGGAAGAGCUUGCGUCACAUUAGUUAGUUGGUGGGGUAAUGGCCUACCAAGACGAUGAUGUGUAGCCGGGCUGAGAGGUCGAACGGCCACAUUGGGACUGAGACACGGCCCAAACUCCUACGGGAGGCAGCAGUAAGGAAUUUUCGGCAAUGGAGGAAACUCUGACCGAGCAAUGCCGCGUGAACGAUGAAGUAUUUCGGUACGUAAAGUUCUUUUAUUAGGGAAGAAAAGAUGGUGGAAAAACCAUUAUGACGGUACCUAAUGAAUAAGCCCCGGCUAACUAUGUGCCAGCAGCCGCGGUAAUACAUAGGGGGCAAGCGUUAUCCGGAAUUAUUGGGCGUAAAGGGUGCGUAGGCGGUUAAAUAAGUUUAUGGUCUAAGUGCAACGCUCAACGUUGUGAUGCUAUAAAAACUGUUUAGCUAGAGUUGGAUAGAGGCAAGUGGAAUUCCGUGUGUAGUGGUAAAAUGCGUAAAUAUACGGAGGAACACCAGAAGCGAAGGCGGCUUGCUGGGUCUUAACUGACGCUGAGGCACGAAAGCGUGGGGAGCAAACAGGAUUAGAUACCCUGGUAGUCCACGCCCUAAACGAUGAGUACUAAACGUUGGAUAAAACCAGUGUUGAAGUUAACACAUUAAGUACUCCGCCUGAGUAGUACGUACGCAAGUAUGAAACUUAAAGGAAUUGACGGGACUCCGCACAAGCGGUGGAUCAUGUUGUUUAAUUCGAAGGUACCCGAAAAACCUCACCAGGUCUUGACAUGCUUUUGCAAAGCUGUAGAAAUACAGUGGAGGUUAUCAGAAGCACAGGUGGUGCAUGGUUGUCGUCAGCUCGUGUCGUGAGAUGUUGGGUUAAGUCCCGCAACGAGCGCAACCCUUGUUGUUAAUUGCCAUCAUUAAGUUGGGGACUUUAGCAAGACUGCCAAUGAUAAAUUGGAGGAAGGUGGGGACGACGUCAAAUCAUCAUGCCCCUUAUGACCUGGGCUACAAACGUGAUACAAUGGCUGUUACAAAGGGUAGCUAAAGCGUAAGCUUCUGGCGAAUCUCAAAAAAGCAGUUUCAGUUCGGAUUGAAGUCUGCAACUCGACUUCAUGAAGUUGGAAUCGCUAGUAAUCGCGAAUCAGCAU